UACAGAGGGGGCAAGCGUUGUUCGGAAUACUGGGCGUAAAGGGCGCGUAGGCGGCCUGCUAAGUCGAACGUGAAAUCCCCGGGCUCAACCCGGGAACUGCGUCCGAUACUGGCAGGCUUGAAUCCGGGAGAGGGAUGCGGAAUUCCAGGUGUAGCGGUGAAAUGCGUAGAUAUCAGGAGGAACACCGGUGGCGAAGGCGGGUCUCUGGACCGAUACUGACGCUGAGGAGCGAAAGCGUGGGGAGCGAACAGG
rnacentral:rRNA from 1 species